UACGUAGGGUGCGAGCGUUGUCCGGAAUUAUUGGGCGUAAAGGGCUCGUAGGCGGUUUGUCGCGUCGGGAGUGAAAACCUACAGCUUAACUGUGGGCUUGCUUUCGAUACGGGCAGACUAGAGGUAUGCAGGGGAGAACGGAAUUCCUGGUGUAGCGGUGAAAUGCGCAGAUAUCAGGAGGAACACCGGUGGCGAAGGCGGUUCUCUGGGCAUGAUCUGACGUUGAGGAGCGAAAGUGUGGGGAGCGAACAGG
rnacentral:rRNA from 1 species